AGGAAGUGUCACAAAGGGAGGCAAACAGACGUAUUUUGAUCGUAGAAAAUCAUAUAAUGCAAGGAGAUAGAGUACCAUUACCUACAAAAUAAUAAAUUUCUUGUCGUAUUUUUUAUUGAGGAAUGCAUCUACGUGUCAUGUAGCGUUUGUCGAAGUGCCUAUGUUGCUCCAGCGGUCUUUGAUUUUCCAUCGCGAAAAUAGAUGACGGCAGGAAUUAUUUGACUUGAUAGCCUAUAAGUGAUCGGGUACCAUGCAGCUGGUCUCAAUUUUGACGCUGUGUAUGUUGGCUUGCCAGGUGAUGUCCAAGGGACCCGGGUUGUUCGUGCCUGACCCCAACGACCCCAACAUAUUGCGUCCCAUGAGGCUGGGCGAGACUAGGUCCAAUAUCCGAGUCCAGCCGUACGAAGUGGAUCAACGCAAAGAGAGCAUCUGUCAGCACAAUCCCGUCUUGAUUAUAUAGCGUUUUUAGCAUGUGUCGUGUUUGAAACUAAUACACACAAAACAGAACUCGCUUAAUAUAUAGAUAUUUUAUGAUUAUCUUUACCAAAUGGAAAUGGCUUAGUAGUCCUCAGUCCAUGGAGAUAGAGAGCUUAUUUCUCAUAGCAAAGAAAAUUUAGAAAAUUGAUGUUUAAAUAUAAUAUUUUCGUUCACGAAUACCACCUGCUAAUGUUC